rnacentral:rRNA from 1 species
GCUUGUCUCAAAGAUUAAGCCAUGCAUGUCUAAGUGUAAAUACGUCUACACUGUGAAACUGCGAAUGGCUCAUUAAAUCAGUUAUCGUUUAUUUGAUGAUCUCUUGUUACAUGGAUAACCGUAGUAAUUCUAGAGCUAAUACAUGCGUCAAGCCCCGACUUCGGAAGGGGUGCAUUUAUUAGAUUCAAACCAUCAGUCCUUUACGGGACUUUUGAUGGCGAGUCAUAAUAACUGAGCGAAUCGAAUGACCUUGUGUCGUCGAUGCUUCAUUCAAAUUUCUGCCCUAUCAGCUUUCGAUGGUAGGAUCUUGGCCUACCAUGGCUAUAACGGGUAACGGGGAAUUAGGGUUCGGUUCCGGAGAGGGAGCUUGAGAAAUGGCUACCACAUCUAAGGAAGGCAGCAGG